rnacentral:rRNA from 1 species
AUUGAACGCUGGCGGCAUGCUUUACACAUGCAAGUCGAACGGCAGCGCGGGGCAACCUGGCGGCGAGUGGCGAACGGGUGAGUAAUAUAUCGGAACGUACCCAGAAGUGGGGGAUAACGUAGCGAAAGUUACGCUAAUACCGCAUACGAUCUACGGAUGAAAGUAGGGGACCGCAAGGCCUUAUGCUUUUGGAGCGGCCGAUAUCUGAUUAGCUAGUUGGUGAGGUAAAGGCUCACCAAGGCGACGAUCAGUAGCUGGUCUGAGAGGACGACCAGCCACACUGGAACUGAGACACGGUCCAGACUCCUACGGGAGGCAGCAGUGGGGAAUUUUGGACAAUGGGCGCAAGCCUGAUCCAGCAAUGCCGCGUGAGUGAAGAAGGCCUUCGGGUUGUAAAGCUCUUUUGUCAGGGAAGAAACGGUAGAGGCUAAUAUCCUUUGCUAAUGACGGUACCUGAAGAAUAAGUACCGGCUAACUACGUG